CCCCUCUAGCUUAGCCACACCCCUCCAACCAUGUGUGAAGUAAACAAGAGAAGCUAAGAAGGACAACAUGUCGUGUGGAAGUGACUGUCUUUCGUUACUGUUAAUAUUUCUUGAAUCUCUACCAGUGUUUUCAACACAAACAACACCUACUCCUCAAGCUGUAGUAUGCUGCACAGUUGGUGAUGAUACAGGAUGGAGGACCAACGAUUGCUGUGAUGACUUGUGUAUUGCAGAACGUGGAUUAGAUUAUACCUAUCAAACGAACUAGUUACAAAUUACUACUGUUUGAACAAGAACCUCAACCCUCACUGGAGAGAAUCUUGCAGUGGACUAAAUGAUACAAAUACGACUGUCAUACAAUGCUGUAGUGAAGCUAACUGCAACACUCAACUAUUCCCUCGCCUACCCAGUGAACCCACAGUACCAACAACCUACCCUCCAUACAGACCCAUCACUGAGGCCACUACAAACGAACCAACAGCAACGAGUUCACCUACCGUCUCCACGCCAACAACAGCAGCGACUAGCACUGGAUCUAUAACGCAGCAGACUUCACCAGACACAAGUGCAGGCCCAGACAAUUCGGCUAAUCCUCUCAACUUUACGCUCGUGCUAUUGAUGAUUUUCGGAAUUCUCACUGUGUUGUUACUGGUGUGCACAAUUGGAUUCGUUGUAUUCAUUUUGUGGAAAUGUUGGAAUAAAAUGAAUACCAUCAUCAUCACUCGCUACAAAAACCCUUACCCUGAGUCAGUAAGUGAUAUGUCAUCAUCAUCGGGUUCUAGUGCAGCAUAUUUUGACACAAGCACUGACAUUAAAAUAAAUACUUUGGAAUAGCUCUUAAAAAUGUGUUCACAUGUUAUGUUCCUUGUUGUUCUGUCAACAGUUUUUUUUAUGAAUGUACAAUAAUCAUUAUCUCUAUUAUCUCUUG